rnacentral:rRNA from 4 species
CCUGGCGGCCUUAGCGCGGUGGUCCCACCUGACCCCAUGCCGAACUCAGAAGUGAAACGCCGU